rnacentral:rRNA from 1 species
UUAAGCGACCAAGCGUACACGGUGGAUGCCCUGGCAGUCAGAGGCGAUGAAGGACGUGCUAAUCUGCGAAAAGCGCCGGUAAGGUGAUAUGAACCGUUAUAACCGGCGAUGUCCGAAUGGGGAAACCCAGUGUGACUCGUCACACUAUCAUUAACUGAAUCCAUAGGUUAAUGAGGCGAACCGGGGGAACUGAAACAUCUAAGUACCCCGAGGAAAAGAAAUCAACCGAGAUUCCCCCAGUAGCGGCGAGCGAACGGGGAGGAGCCCAGAGCCUGAAUCAGCAUGUGUGUUAGUGGAAGCGUCUGGAAAGGCGCGCGAUACAGGGUGAGAGCCCCGUACACAAAAGCGCACGUGCUGUGAGCUCGAUGAGUAGGGCGGGACACGUGGUAUCCUGUCUGAAUAUGGGGGGACCAUCCUCCAAGGCUAAAUACUCCUGACUGACCGAUAGUGAACCAGUACCGUGAGGGAAAGGCGAAAAGAACCCCGGCGAGGGGAGUGAAACAGAACCUGAAACCGUGUACGUACAAGCAGUGGGAGCCCCACCACUAAGCCAGUGGUGAACUCCACAUACGCAUCCUUUGCUGAGGAUACGGUUAACGGAGCGAAAGCGACGUUCAGCCGCAAAAGAAGCAGAGGGGGCUUAGUGGUGGGGUGACUGCGUACCUUUUGUAUAAUGGGUCAGCGACUUAUAUUCUGUAGCAAGGUUAACCGCAUAGGGGAGCCGGAGGGAAACCGAGUCUUAACCGGGCGUUAAGUUGCAGGGUAUAGACCCGAAACCCGGUGAUCUAGCCAUGGGCAGGUUGAAGGUUGGGUAACACUAACUGGAGGACCGAACCGACUAAUGUUGAAAAAUUAGCGGAUGACCUGUGGCUGGGGGUGAAAGGCCAAUCAAACCGGGAGAUAGCUGGUUCUCCCCGAAAGCUAUUUAGGUAGCGCCUCGUGAAUUCAUCUCCGGGGGUAGAGCACUGUUUCGGCCAGGGGCCAUCCCGGCUUACCAAUCCGAUGCAAACUGCGAAUACCGGAGAAUGUUAUCACGGGAGACACACGGCGGGUGCUAACGUCCGUCGUGAAGAGGGAAACAACCCAGACCGCCAGCUAAGGUCCCAAAGUCAUGGUUAAGUGGGAAACGAUGUGGGAAGGCCCAGACAGCCAGGAUGUUGGCUUAGAAGCAGCCAUCAUUUAAAGAAAGCGUAAUAGCUCACUGGUCGAGUCGGCCUGCGCGGAAGAUGUAACGGGGCUAAACCAUGCACCGAAGCUGCGGCAGCGACACUGAUGUGUUGUUGGGUAGGGGAGCGUUCUGUAAGCCGUUGAAGGUGGCCUGUGAGGGUUGCUGGAGGUAUCAGAAGUGCGAAUGCUGACAUAAGUAACGAUAAAGCGGGUGAAAAGCCCGCUCGCCGGAAGACCAAGGGUUCCUGUCCAACGUUAAUCGGGGCAGGGUGAGUCGACCCCUAAGGCGAGGCCGAAAGGCGUAGUCGAUGGGAAACGGGUUAAUAUUCCCGUACUUGGUGUUACUGCGAAGGGGGGACGGAGAAGGCUAUGUUGGCCGGGCGACGGUUGUCCCGGUUUAAGCGUGUAGGUGUGUGUUCCAGGUAAAUCCGGUUCACUUUAACACUGAGGCGUGACGACGAGGCACUACGGUGCUGAAGCAACAAAUGCCCUGCUUCCAGGAAAAGCCUCUAAGCCUCAGGUAACAUCAAAUCGUACCCCAAACCGACACAGGUGGUCAGGUAGAGAAUACCAAGGCGCUUGAGAGAACUCGGGUGAAGGAACUAGGCAAAAUGGUGCCGUAACUUCGGGAGAAGGCACGCUGACACGUAGGUGAAGUGGUUUACCCAUGGAGCUGAAGUCAGUCGAAGAUACCAGCUGGCUGCAACUGUUUAUUAAAAACACAGCACUGUGCAAACACGAAAGUGGACGUAUACGGUGUGACGCCUGCCCGGUGCCGGAAGGUUAAUUGAUGGGGUCAGCGCAAGCGAAGCUCCUGAUCGAAGCCCCGGUAAACGGCGGCCGUAACUAUAACGGUCCUAAGGUAGCGAAAUUCCUUGUCGGGUAAGUUCCGACCUGCACGAAUGGCGUAAUGAUGGCCAGGCUGUCUCCACCCGGGACUCAGUGAAAUUGAACUCGCUGUGAAGAUGCAGUGUACCCGCGGCAAGACGGAAAGACCCCGUGAACCUUUACUAUAGCUUGACACUGAACACUGGUCCUUGAUGUGCAGGAUAGGUGGGAGGCUUUGAAGUGUGGACGCCAGUCUGCAUGGAGCCAUCCUUGAAAUACCACCCUUUAAUGGCUGGUGUUCUAACGUGGACCCGUAAUCCGGGUUGCGGACAGUGUCUGGUGGGUAGUUUGACUGGGGCGGUCUCCUCCUAAAGAGUAACGGAGGAGCACGAAGUUGGCUAAUCCUGGUCGGACAUCAGGAGGUUAGUGCAAUGGCAUAAGCCAGCUUGACUGCGAGCGUGACGGCGCGAGCAGGUGCGAAAGCAGGUCAUAGUGAUCCGGUGGUUCUGAAUGGAAGGGCCAUCGCUCAACGGAUAAAAGGUACUCCGGGGAUAACAGGCUGAUACCGCCCAAGAGUUCAUAUCGACGGCGGUGUUUGGCACCUCGAUGUCGGCUCAUCACAUCCUGGGGCUGAAGUAGGUCCCAAGGGUAUGGCUGUUCGCCAUUUAAAGUGGUACGCGAGCUGGGUUUAGAACGUCGUGAGACAGUUCGGUCCCUAUCUGCCGUGGGCGCUGGAAGAUUGAGGGAGGCUGCUCCUAGUACGAGAGGACCGGAGUGGACGCAUCACUGGUGUUCGGGUUGUCAUGCCAAUGGCACUGCCCGGUAGCUACAUGCGGAAGAGAUAAGUGCUGAAAGCAUCUAAGCACGAAACUUGCCCCGAGAUGAAUCUUCCCUGAGCCUUUAAGGCUCCUGAAGGAACGUUGAAGACGACGACGUUGAUAGGCCGGGUGUGUAAGCGCAGCGAUGCGUUGAGCUAACCGGUACUAAUGAACCGUGAGGCUUAACCUU